ACGAGCCGAGCCCGGAUCGAUCUGCGCCCCUGUUCGAUCCCGUGCUCCUCAGGGACACCGUACACGGGCAAGACUCCGCGAGGAACGCCGCACCCUUUCUCCCGAUUCUUCCACUCGCCGCACGCAGCUGCAGGGCGAAACCCGAUCUCGCCCGGAGCUCCGCCAACAGCCGUCGUUCACCGUCCGAAUCCGCCGCCCAGAGGGAGAGGAACGAGCUCGACCGCCGCCGCCGGAGCACACCGUGUUCUCGCCGUUGCCGUCGCCCGCAGAGCACGCCCCGUCGUCGUUUGACCUCACCACUGCGUCCACAACUCGAAGCCGCCUCCGCCCAUCACAUCACCUUCGCCGGAGCACCGCCGGAGAAGCGCCGCCGCCGACGCCCGAGACCGCCGCUGCCGUUCCUCUGUUUCCGAUUGUCCGGAGUGCGACACGAGCUAUUGUCAAGAGUGUGACUUUUUGAACCAGAACCAAGGCAAGUUACAUGUUGAUCAUCCUUUACCUAUUGUUUUCUAUGCAUGUAGUUAUAUCACACUAUGAGUAUAUGCAUGUAUAGGAUUACUAUAUUAUUUUGCUAUGUUGUUGAGCUAUCUUCCCGUCUUUUGCAAAUCGUGGUAGUUGUAGUUUGCUAUGCUUUGUAGACGGGGGUGGUUCGUGUAUUCAUUGAGUUUAUGUGAGGAUUAUAUAAAGAACUAAAUUGAGUAGUAAUUAAGGAUUUAAUUCACCUCUGGGCGGAAGUGGUAUUGCUUGGUGUUGAGGGAAGGCAUCAUGGGGUCUUGCACCUUUUCUAAGGCCAUGCGCCCAUGAGAGUGCACCCUAAGUGGAAUGCCGCCCAGGUUCAAAAAGAUCAGACAGACUUAGUGACUAGUAGCUUCCAUGUGCGGCCACUGGCUAUAUGGGCUCUGGCUUAGUUGGUCAGUUGUUGGAACCCUUUCCCAGACUGUGUCGACAGAUGUAGCAUAUGUAGGUGGGAUGUGGCCGUCAGGUGGUUAAGGGAACCUCUUCUGAAAGACUUCGUCUUAAUCUUCGGAUUGGGUCCAGUGGGUAAAGCGUACAAAACUCUGCAGAGUAUAAAAACUAAUCAUGAUUAGCUGUGCCCCUGGUUAUGGGUAAAUUUGAGCCACUAUGCCAUUAUAGUUGUUGGAUGAUCUUGACAGAUGUGACACUUAAUAAUAUUUGUGGGCAACUUAAUAAAGGGUAGGUUGGAUUUGAUUUUGCCAACUCAACCUUGUGUACAUAAUUGUAGUAAUAAAAGAACUAAAUAAUAAAAUUGACUAUUAGGUAGUUAUUAGGAUAAAACCAGCUUUCUGCAAAAUAAACCCCUAAGCCUUCCUUUUGUUAUACUAUGCAUAUACAUGUAGGUCUGCUAUAUUAUUACUCCUGUGUAACUUGCCAAUACAUUCAAAGUAUUGACCUAUAUGGCUGCAACGUCUCAUGUUGCAGGAUAUUCAGACGAAGAGUAAGGUACCGUUAGGGUCGCGAGCCUACACUCAGCAUCGCCAGUGGGCUAUGAUGGGACUCAUCAUUAUU